GAUGCAAUUAAAGUGGGGAAAUAUAUUUUUGAAAUUUGAAUAACCAUCAUAUCUUAUCUUCUCUCGCCUCUUUCUCGAUAAUAUCAACACCAGAUCUACCAACAUUGUUAUCUUGUAAACUAUUUUGAUUUCAAAAAGUUGAGCAUCGCAAGUUCAGUAAGCAGCAGUUCUAUCUCAGGCGGAGGUGUAAGAUACCAUAGAGAUCCGGUGGCGGCUAUGGUAGAUGUGGUAUGAUGUUGGAGCUGUUAAAGAGUGAUGUCAAAAUUGAUGAGGUUUUGGUUCAGAUUCAUGACUGCGUGCUUGAUUUCAGGCAAUCUAGGGUUUUGUAAGUGGAGAUUCCGGCGAUAUAGGGCUUAAACAAGCUUUAUCUGGCAACUUGAUGUCGAAGGCACCAAACUUUUCUUUAUAGCUUUUUACUGUCAUUUUUGCUUAUGAGGAGGAUGUUGCUGGAUGUUUUGAAUCUAAUGCUGAUUUUGCAGAAGCUUUAGAUGCAAAACAAAGUGCAUCUAUUAGUCUUCCAAUGGAGGAGAAUGGUUGAAGAAGCUGGUGACGUCGACGACGGUUUACAAGGGCAUAUGCAUAGAGAAGUUUUUGGAAUAUUUCUGGUGGUGUCGGGAAGGCAUGCUUUCAAACGAAGACGUUUUAUGAAGCUGUAAACCAGUAUGCGUAAAUGGGUCUUCGUACUUUUUGUUUGGCGUGGCGGGAAUUAAAUGAGUGGAGAGUAGCAGAGGUUUGCCAAAGAUUAGAACACGACCUUGAAAUACUCGGGGUUGCUGCAAUUGAGGACCGUUUACAGAGAGGACAUAUGCAUAGAAAAGUUUUUGGAAUAUUUCUGGUGGUGUUGGGAUAGACUCAAGGCA